rnacentral:rRNA from 1 species
AUAGUAUUUAUUGAUUGCCUAAUCGAAAAAUUAAAGUUACGACGGUAAAGGAUGGGCAUGCGUGCCAUUAGUUAGUUGGUGGGGUAAGGGCCCACCAAGACAAUGAUGGCUAUGGGGUCUAAAAGGAUGGUCCCACACACUGGUACUGAGACACGGACCAGACUCCUACGGGAGGCAGCAGUGAGGAAUAUUGGUCAAUGGGUGGAAGCCUGAACCAGCCAUGCCGCGUGCAGGAUGACGGCCCUAGUGGUUGUAAACUGCUUUUACAUGAGAAGAAUAAUAGCUACGUGUAGUUAUAUGCCUGUACCAUGAGAAUAAGCAUCGGCUAACUCCGUGCCAGCAGCCGCGGUAAUACGGAGGAUGCGAGCGUUAUCCGGAUUUAUUAGGUUUAAAGGUGUGUAGGCUGUGGAGUAAGUCAGUGGUGAAAUCUUUCGGCUUAACCGGGAAACUGCCAUUGAUACUGCUUUACUUGAGUAUAGUUGAGGUAGGCGGAAUGUGUAAUGUAGCGGUGAAAUGCAUAGAUAUUACCCAGAACACCGAUUGCGAAGGCAGCUUACUAAACUAUAACUGACGCUGAUGCACGAAAGCGUGGGGAGCGAACAGGAUUAGAUACCCUGGUAGUCCACGCUGUAAACGAUGAGCACUCGCUGUAGGCGAUACACAGUCUGUGGCUGAGCGAAAGCAUUAAGUGCUCCACCUGGGGAGUACGUCGGCAACGAUGAAACUCAAAGGAAUUGACGGGGGCCCGCACAAGCGGUGGAACAUGUGGUUUAAUUCGAUGAUACGCGAGGAACCUUACCUGGGUUUAAAUUUGGGAUGACGAGUUUUGAAAGAGGCUUUCCCUUCGGGGCAUUUCAGAAGGUGCUGCAUGGCUGUCGUCAGCUCGUGCCGUGAGGUGUCGGGUUAAGUCCCAUAACGAGCGCAACCCUUAUUGCUAGUUACCAACGAGUAAAGUCGGGGACUCUAGCGAGACUGCCACCGUAAGGUGUGAGGAAGGUGGGGAUGACGUCAAGUCAGCACGGCCCUUACGUCCAGGGCUACACACGUGUUACAAUGGCCGGUACAAAGGGCAGCUACAU